GAUGAACGCUAGCGGCAGGCCUAAUACAUGCAAGUCGAACGAGAUUAAGAGGCUUGCUUCUUAUGAAAGUGGCGCACGGGUGCGUAACGCGUAUGCAACCUACCUUAAUCAGGGGGAUAGCCCGAAGAAAUUCGGAUUAAGACCGCAUAAAAACACAGGAUAGCAUUAUCCAAUGUUCAAAUAUUUAUAGGAUUAAGAUGGGCAUGCGUGUCAUUAGCUAGUUGGCGGGGUAACGGCCCACCAAGGCGACGAUGACUAGGGGAUCUGAGAGGAUGACCCACCACACUGGUACUGAGACACGGACCAGACUCCUACGGGAGGCAGCAGUAAGGAAGAUUGGUCAAGGGAGGGAACUCUGAACCAGCCAUGCCGCGUGCAGGAAGACAGCCCUCUGGGUCGUAAACUGCUUUUAUUCGGGAAUAAACCGUUCUACGUGUAGGAAGCUGAAUGUACCGAAGGAAUAAGGAUCGGCUAACUCCGUG
rnacentral:rRNA from 1 species